CUUAAGGAAUAUGAACUAGACCUUGCUAUUCAUAAAGUGGUCCUCAAGAGCUUCUAAGAAAUACAAAGUCACAGGCCCCAUUCCAGGCCUAUUAUAAGAAUCUUUAACAACAACAGUAGAUAGAGAAUAAAGAAUUAUUAUUUGAUAUAGAGUGGCAAGAAAAGCCCAUAUUCAAGCAGAGACAUGAAGGAAGUGAGGAAGCAAUUCAUAUAGAAAUGAGUAGAGUGCUCCAGAGAGAGGACACUAAAGGCAAAAAAGCCCCGGGGAGGAAGAGCACUUUGUGGCCACGAAACAGCAAAGAAGCCACUGGAGCUGGAACUGAAUAACUUCCGAAGUAAAGGACAGAAGCUGAUCACACAGAGGUGUCAAACUAUCGAAAGGUCUCUGGUUCUGCUGAGUUCAAGUGAGACAGAAAGCCACAGUGUUUCCUGGCACUAUCUUCAAACUAAACGAUGUGAUUCAAAUUUUCAUCUGCUUCCAGAGAAACUCAACCUAUGUCAAGUGGUAAAAGUGUAACAGCAGAGAGCUACACUUCUUAAAAGAAAUCUCCUGACUUCAUCCACAUAGAGUUGAUGUGCAUCAAAGAAAAAGGAACAGCAGCAAGAAAUGAGAUUCAAAUGAAAGAAUUCAAGAGAAAUAUGAAAUGAGACCAAAAGAAGAUUGGAAAA